rnacentral:lncRNA from 1 species
UCUUCAAUACCAGCUUUGCUAUGAGGAAACUAUCCAAUAACGAGGGAAGAGCGGAUAUAUCUUGCUCUGAUCAGACAACUCCACUGGGGAAAGACUGAUGACGACUGAAUUGGGGGUAACUUAUAGGCGAUCAUGUUGGAGAUAAUUUGCUGGCGAACCAACUGGGGAAGUCUUAAUGUGAUCAACCCUACUAAGGCUGAG